GACGAACCGAGCGAACGUUGUUCGGAAUCACUGGGCUUAAAGGGCGCGUAGGCGGGCUGUCAAGUCUGGGGUGAAAUCCCGCGGCUCAACCGUGGAACUGCCUUAGAUACUGACGGCCUCGAGGGAGGUAGGGGCAUGCGGAACUGAUGGUGGAGCGGUGAAAUGCGUUGAUAUCAUCAGGAACUCCGGUGGCGAAGGCGGCGUGCUGGACCUCUUCUGACGCUGAGGCGGCGAAAGCUAGGGGAGCAAACGGGG
rnacentral:rRNA from 1 species